AGGGGCAGCAUAAUUAGUCGUAAGAUUAAUGGUGGCGACCGGCGCACGGGUGCGUAACGCGUAUGCAACCUACCUUUUACUGGGGUAUAGCCCGAAGAAAUUCGGAUUAAUCCCCCAUAGCACUGAGCAUUCGCAUGAAUAAUCAGUUAAAGUUUCGGCGGUAAAAGAUGGGCAUGCGUCCUAUUAGCUAGAUGGUAAGGUAACGGCUUACCAUGGCUACGAUAGGUAGGGGGCCUGAGAGGGUGGUCCCCCACACUGGUACUGAGACACGGACCAGACUCCUACGGGAGGCAGCAGUGAGGAAUAUUGGUCAAUGGGCGCAAGCCUGAACCAGCCAUGCCGCGUGCAGGAAGAAUGUCCUAUGGAUUGUAAACUGCUUUUAUUUGGGAAUAAACCCCCCGACGUGUCGGGGUCUGAAGGUACCAAAUGAAUAAGCACCGGCUAACUCCGUGCCAGCAGCCGCGGUAAUACGGAGGGUGCAAGCGUUAUCCGGAAUCAUUGGGUUUAAAGGGUCCGCAGGCGGGCAUAUAAGUCAGUGGUGAAAGCCUACAGCUCAACUGUAGAACUGCCAUUGAUACUGUAAGUCUUGAAUUCGGUCGAAGUGGGCGGAAUGUGUAGUGUAGCGGUGAAAUGCAUAGAUAUUACACAGAACACCGAUAGCGAAGGCAGCUCACUAGGCCUGGAUUGACGCUCAGGGACGAAAGCGUGGGGAUCAAACAGGAUUAGAUACCCUGGUAGUCCACGCUGUAAACGAUGAUUACUCGUUUUCGGCGAUAUACAGUCGGAGACUAAGCGAAAGUGAUAAGUAAUCCACCCUGGG
rnacentral:rRNA from 1 species